AACCUUGGAUACCAUUUUUGUGAUUUGGUAUUUUAUCACUUUAUAGUUUAAAGUAUAACAAUUUUGUAUUCUAUGGUUUAAUUUUUUUUCUUUUCGCUAGCUUCUUCGUUAAUUUUUCAUUAAAUCAUAUACAAAAAACUUCAGAUACCCCGCAUAUAGUUUAUCGAAUAUUCACUUUAGUUUUAACUUUGUCACUAAUUUAACGAAAAAAAUUAGUGGAGGGAAUAACAAAAAGAGAAAAAUAAAACCAGAUACACAUUAAACUAUAUUGGAUACUAAAGUGAGAAAGUGCGAAACCACAUGAUAGUAUUUGAAGUUUUUCCAAAAAAAUAUGCUGGAGCCUAGAAGUAGUUUUCUGGCUUAAAAAAUAAUCUUAAUUUUAUCUGUUUGAUUCUAUGUAAACAUACGUAGUUUCUUUAUUUUAAUGGUAAAUUUUAAAUACCACCUCUGUAGUUUCGCAUUUUCUCACUUUAGUACCCUAUGGUUUAAAGUGUAUUAAAUUAGUGUCCCGUGGCACUACAACAGAAUUAGGUUAUAGGGACACAUGUUUGGGACACUUUUGUCUAAGUGUCCCAUUUAUGUCAAAAUUUUAAAAAACAUCUAUUAAUCCCUAAAUAUAAAGCCGAAUCCAAUAAAAAAUAAAAGGUUACUAUACUCAACCCACCCAACCCAACCCAUUUAGCCCGAUUCCAAACAGAAAGGAAAAAAAAAAAGAAAAAUCGAUUACCAUCUCUCUUUCUCUGCUCACUCAAUCUACUGAAAUCCUAGACGAAGGGUCCUUACCUCUCGUCCUCCUCCGCCGUCACAGCCAACGAGAUAGAGUUCCGACGGUUGCUAAAUGCUUAAAUAAGUGUUGCUAAAUUAGCAGCACUUUUUUAGAUUAUAGCGACACUCUUUAACUGUCGCUAUAUAUCUAGCGAUCCCACAUAUAGCAACACUUUUUAAAAGUGUCGGUAAUUUAGCCAGUAACAUUUUUUUUGACCUAUACCAAUAUUUAAAAGUGUCGCUAUAGACCGUUUUUGUUGUAGUGUAGUUUCAUUUUUAUCUCUUUGUCAGUUUUUUCAUUAAUAUUUCGUUAAAUUAUAUACAAAAAAAACUUCAGAUAUCCGAUCUAAGUUUAUCGAAUAUUCACUUUAGUACUCUUUAGUUUUAACUUUGUCACUAAUUUAACGAAAAAAAUAGUGGAAUCAAUAAUAAAAUAAUAAAUAUGAAACUACGGGGCACUAAAUUAUAUACUUUAACCCACAGGGUACUAAAAUGAGAAAGUGUAAAACCGCAGGGGUGGUAUUUGAAGUUUUUUCUUUUUUUAAAGCAAAGAGAAAUUUGAGAAUUUAUGAGAAGAAAUGUGUUUUCGUUUUUC
rnacentral:lncRNA from 1 species